rnacentral:tRNA from 2 species
GCAGGGAUGGUGUAACAGGCAACAGCUCGAUCUCCAAAAUCGAUAUUCUAGGUUCAAAUCCUAGUCCCUGCG